UGCUGAGCUUCGGGUAACUCGCACAGUGGAAGACCUGUUCCUUCUACCCAAGAAAGAACAGUUAAUGAAGCCACAUGAGCAUCCCUCCCUGCCAACAGGUGUACACCUUAGAGAAGAGACAGACAAGUAUAUGACGUAAUCGGAUAAAUGUCUCGACAAUCUAUUACAGCAGCUCAACAAAGGGCCACCUAAUUGAACCUGGAAGUAUCAGGAAGGCUUCCUGGAAAACGUGAUAGCUAAGUGGAGUUUUUAACAAUAGUAGUAAUAAUAACAACCUUGUUAUUCUAAAUGGUUCAUAUUUAUUUUUUAAUAAAAAAUAUUUCAUAUUUUUUAUUUAUGAAUAAAUAUUUAAUAUUUGCAGCA